UGUUUAACUCUCACACAAAACCCAUUUUUACGUCCACAGUGAUGAUGGCACUGAAAUCACGGCAAACGUGACGUAUGUAUACAAAGAGGAAGAUGUCAACCACCCUAGUGGUUUUCUACAGGAAGUCUUAAAAGUCUCAGGUCUCCUGACCACCACUGUUGCCCCAACAACAACUACCAACACCACACCACUUCCUACCCUUUUGACUUCAGUGACAUCAACAACUAGAUUCGGCACAGUUGGGUUUUUGUUAAACUGAUAUUCAAGGUCAAAACACCAGUCCCCACUGAGGAUGAUGUCCUUGGUGCCGUUAAGAAGCAAUUGUCUCCUCAAUUCACGACCACUCAAACCACCUUCCAGAAUGCAACUUAUAUCAAACUUACAGAUACUUCAUUUGCCAUCGACCUUGGUUUCAAAAUAACCAAUGUAACCCAGGAGUCUCUAAGUAAUAGACUCACACUCACCAAUGAGACCGAAACCCAGAUACAGGAUUCAAUUAACAGACUAGUAAGA